GCCUCACAGCUAGCCCCAAUAAAAAUACAACAAACAAUUAUAAAUAACCCCAAAUUAACUAAAAAUAUAUAAACAAACCAUUUUCUACCCUAGUAUCGGCGAGAGAAAAGGACCACCAGCGCUAUAGAAAUAGUACCGCAAGGGAAAGCUGAAAGAGAAAUGAAAUAAAUAAUAAAGCCACACAAAGCAGAGAUCCUACCUCGUACCUUUUGCAUCAUGAAUCAGCCAGCAAACCCUAGCAAAGAGCACUUUAGUUAGAAACCCCGAAACCGAGUGAGCUACUCCAAGACAGCCUAUUAAUAGGGCCAACCCGUCUCUGUGGCAAAAGAGUGGGAAGAGCUUUGAGUAGAGGUGACAGACCUACCGAACCCGGUUAUAGCUGGUUGCCUGCGAAAUGAAUAGAAGUUCAGCCCCACCCGUACUUUAACCAACCAAGCAUCGCCUGAAUUGCUAACAAAGAUAUGAACGUGGGAGUUAGUCGAAAGGGGUACAGCCCUUUUGAUAAAGAAUACAACCUUAAGCACAGGGUAAAGAUUAUAAUUUACAAGGCAUGAUACUCAAGUGGGCCUAAGAGCAGCCACCUAAGAAGAAAGCGUUAAAGCUCGUGCAUCUAAUUGCCACUAAUACUAAUAGAAAAUCUCAACCCGUGCCAAACUAGCAGGCUGUUCUAUCCAUCAUAGAAACAAUUAUGCUGAUAUGAGUAAUAAGAGAAUAAGACUCUCUCCUAGCACAAGUGUAACUCGGAACGAACCCACACCGAAAACCAACGGACUCAAACAAAGAGAGACCUGGGCCCUAUUACAAAAAACAAGAAAAACGCCCACCACCGCACCGUUAACCUCACACAAGUGUGCCCCCAAGGAAAGACUAAAAGGAGAAGAAGGAACUCGGCAAACACAAGCCUCGCCUGUUUACCAAAAACAUCGCCUCUUGCAAAAUCAAAAAUAAGAGGUCCAGCCUGCCCUGUGACCAAAAUGUUUAACGGCCGCGGUAUUUUGACCGUGCGAAGGUAGCGCAAUCACUUGUCUUUUAAAUGAAGACCUGUAUGAAUGGCACAACGAGGGCUUAGCUGUCUCCUUCCCCCAGUCAAUGAAAUUGAUCCCCCCGUGCAGAAGCGGGGAUAAAUCCAUAAGACGAGAAGACCCUAUGGAGCUUUAGACUACCAAGCAGAUUAAGUCAAUCCCCUUAAACAAAAGAUUAAACCAAAUAACACCUGCUUCCCUGUCUUUGGUUGGGGCGACCACGGGAAAAAGAAUAUCUCCCGCAUGGAACGGAAACACCUUUCUACAACCAAGAGCGACAGCUCUAAAGAACAGAACUUCUGACCUUAAUGAUCCGGCAACGCCGAUCAACGAACCGAGUUACCCUAGGGAUAACAGCGCAAUCCUCUUAUAGAGUCCAUAUCGACAAGAGGGUUUACGACCUCGAUGUUGGAUCAGGGUAUCCUAAUGGUGCAGCCGCUAUUAAGGGUUCGUUUGUUCAACGAUUAAAACCCUACGUGAUCUGAGUUCAGACCGGAGUAAUCCAGGUCAGUUUCUAUCUAUGAAAUGGCUUUUUCUAGUACGAAAGGACCGAAAAAGGGGGGCCCAUGCUUAAGGUACGCCCCCUCCCAACCUAAUGAAAUCAACUAAAAUAGACAAAGGGACAUAAACCUACUUCUAAGAAUAAGACAU
rnacentral:rRNA from 1 species